GCGGGAGUAGCUCAGUUGGUAGAGCACGACCUUGCCCAAGGUCGGGGUCGCGGGUUCAAGUCCCGUCUCCCGCUCCA
rnacentral:tRNA from 1 species